GAUGAACGCUGGCGGCGUGCCUAAUACAUGCAAGUCGAGCGAACAGAUGAGGAGCUUGCUCCUCUGACGUUAGCGGCGGACGGGUGAGUAACACGUGGAUAACCUACCUAUAAGACUGGGAUAACUUCGGGAAACCGGAGCUAAUACCGGAUAAUAUAUUGAACCGCAUGGUUCAAUAGUGAAAGACGGUUUUGCUGUCACUUAUAGAUGGAUCCGCGCCGCAUUAGCUAGUUGGUAAGGUAACGGCUUACAAAGGCAACGAUGCGUAGCCGACCUGAGAGGGUGAUCGUCCACACUGGAACUGAGACACGGUCCAGACUCCUACGGGAGGCAGCAGUAGGGAAUCUUCCGCAAUGGGCGAAAGCCUGACGGAGCAACGCCGCGUGAGUGAUGAAGGUCUUCGGAUCGUAAAACUCUGUUAUUAGGGAAGAACAAAUGUGUAAGUAACUAUGCACGUCUUGACGGUACCUAAUCAGAAAGCCACGGCUAACUACGUG
rnacentral:rRNA from 1 species